rnacentral:lncRNA from 1 species
GACAGUAUUUGCCUUUUUAGUUGCUAUAGUCCCUUAACUUAGACCAUAUUUAAAUUUUGGUCAUCAAAUUCGCAAAAAGCUGUUGUAGUUCUUCAACUUCAUUUUCGUUAGUGUUGAUACUGCCGUCAGAUUUGUUAAAUUUAAGGGUAAAAUUGUCACUACAAAUCCAACUCCCACCACCCACACCACUACUUUGCAAACAAAUCCACUAUUUCCACCACCACAAGAACAAGAACAAAGAACGCAACCUUAGUUUGUCUUUUUCUGAGUUUUUUUAUUUACACCCAUCAAAUGUCCAAGUUCACCCCCACUAAUUUUUUUUUUUUUCAAAACCUUAAAAUCCAACUAUACCUUUCACAAUAAAUUAAGAAAUUGACAAAAAAAUUUAUUUCACCAUACCCCCUCCCUCUUCCCAAACUCUCUCUCACUCUCUCUCUCUCACACACUCUCUCUCUCUCUCUCCACCCAUCUUCUCAUUACACCCAACUCACCAUCCACCACUAACCACCAUGAC